AGGAUGAACGCUGGCGGAGUGCCUAAUACAUGCAAGUCGAGCGGCAGCACGAGUGGUUUACUACUUGGUGGCGAGCGGCGGACGGCUGAGUAACGCGUGGGAACGUGUCCCAAAGUGAGGAAUAAGCUCCAGAAAUGGAGUCUAAUGCCGCAUAUGAUCUUCGGAUUAAAGUAUUUAUACGCUUUGGGAGCGGCCCGCGUCCGAUUAGAUUGUUGGUGAGGUAAAGGCUCACCAAGUCGACGAUCGGUAACUGGUCUGAGAGGAUGAUCAGUCAGACUGGAACUGAGACACGGUCCAGACUCCUACGGGAGGCAGCAGUAAGGAAUCUUCCACAAUGGACGAAAGUCUGAUGGAGCAACUCCGCGUGCAGGACGAAGGCCCUCGGGUCGUAAACUGCUUUUAUGAGUGAAGAAUAUGACGGUAACUCAUGAAUAGGGUCGCUAACUACGUGCCAGCAGCCGC
rnacentral:rRNA from 1 species